rnacentral:rRNA from 1 species
UCUAGGAACAAGGAGCCGGUAUCAGGCACAUUAUUAUNGCCCAAAACACCUAGCCAUNGCCACACCCCCAAGGGAUUUCAGCAGUGAUUAAUUUUGAACAUGAACGACAGUUCGAUUCAGUUAAAGUACAUANAAGCCGGCAAAUCUGGUGCCAGCCGCCGCGGUUACACCAAGAGGCUUAAAUUGACUACNAACCGGCGUAAAGCGUGAUUAAAGUCCAUAAAAAANUAAAGUUAAACUACAACUAAGCUGUAAUACNGCNUUUGUUACNUAGGAGCCCCAAAAACGAAAGUUACUUUAAUCAAAACAACUUGAAUUCACGACAGCUGGGAAACAAACUGGGAUUAGAUACCCCACUAUGCCCAGCCGUAAACCUUAAACNUACACCACAAUCGCCCGGGUACUACGAGCAAAGCUUAAAACCCAAAGGACUUGACGGUACCCCACAUCCGCCUAGAGGAGCCUGUCCUAUAAUCGAUAACCCCCGCUUAACCUCACCAUUUUUAGUAAAUCAGCCUGUAUACCUCCGUCGCCAGCUUACCCCGUGAGUGACACUCAGUAAGCUUAAUGUCCGUNNNNNNNNNNNNNNNNNACGUCAACACGUCAGGUCAAGGUGCAGUAAAUGAAAUGGGAAGAGAUGGGCUACACUUUCUGCCGNCAGAACAAANCGAAAAAUUAGUUAUGAAAUCUAGUUAGAAGGAGGAUUUAGCAGUAAAAAGAAAUCAGAAAGUUCUUUUUAACCCGGCACUGGGGNUGUGUACACACCGCCCGUCA